rnacentral:misc_RNA from 1 species
AACAUCGCGCACCUGCGGGAACCUGCGGAAGGAUCAUUACCGAGUUUACAACUCCCAAACCCCUGUGAACAUACCACUUGUUGCCUCGGCGGAUCAGCCCGCUCCCGGUAAAACGGGACGGCCCGCCAGAGGACCCCUAAACUCUGUUUCUAUAUGUAACUUCUGAGUAAAACCAUAAAUAAAUCAAAACUUUCAACAAUGGAUCU